rnacentral:rRNA from 1 species
AUUGAACGCUGGCGGCACGCCUUACACAUGCAAGCCGAACGGCAGCGGACCUUCGGGUGCCGGCGAGUGGCGAACGGGUGAGUAAUAUAUCGGAACGUACCUUUCAGUGGGGGAUAACGUAGCGAAAGUUACGCUAAUACCGCAUAUUCUGUGAGCAGGAAAGCAGGGGAUCGCAAGACCUUGCGCUGAUUGAGCGGCCGAUAUCAGAUUAGCUAGUUGGUGAGGUAAAGGCUCACCAAGGCGACGAUCUGUAGCGGGUCUGAGAGGAUGAUCCGCCACACUGGAACUGAGACACGGUCCAGACUCCUACGGGAGGCAGCAGUGGGGAAUUUUGGACAAUGGGCGCAAGCCUGAUCCAGCCAUGCCGCGUGAGUGAAGAAGGCC